rnacentral:tRNA from 1 species
AGGGACUUAGCUAAGUGGUAUAGCACCUGCCUGGCAAGCAUGAGAUCAUGGGUUUGGAUCCCUGGUACCAA